rnacentral:lncRNA from 1 species
AGAACAUUUUUAUUUCUAAAAUAGCCUUGGUACAGCUUGGGCCUUUUAUGUAUAAUUUAGCAACGGAAACCAUAACAACAAUAAUGUAUGGAUAGGAAGAGUUUAUUCUCUUGAAUGAACAAAUUAGGUCAUCAUCAAGCAGUUUUAUUUAAUGGGAAUCCCCCGUGAGGUGUUCACAUAGUGAGAAACAGUUCUUCUCCCUUUAGAAAAGAAUGCUGAAAAGAACAUUCCCCUCCGUUUCACACAAGAGUGGAAGGGCCCAGUGAAAACUGGGAACGUGCUAACUCGCGACAGUGGUGCCGGAGUGCGUCCUCCAAUCCAGCUGUCAGCGCUGUUGGGAGCAAGGCCGAGCCUGCAACCACUGCAUUCUGCACUUGCGCUAGGUCUGAGCGUUUGAAGAAGAGAGAGCAAUUCCUCCUUGCUCCCUGCUCCGUGGUUCCAGAGCAGGUCUCUGAUUUGAAACUUAUUAAUAGGCUUCCCUAAUAAGAUCAUCCAUAAAAUUCUGAGCCCCCAGUGCGUUUACCUAGUGUAAGUGUUCUUACCAGUAGCACAAAGGAAACUGAGGUUCUAAUAUUGACUCCCCACGGGCGAUGGGCAUCUCCUCCGUGGUGCAGAAGGCUGGACUCCCGGCGCUGGGAAUGACCUUGGAAACCUCUCCAGCACCUUUCUCAGCAAGCCUAGCUCUGAAACUGGGAGGGGUGGCUUUGCUGUUGAUGGUGCGUGCGGCACCGCGGGAAGGAAAUCCUGAGCUGAACUUCCCUCGGAGAGAGCGUGACCUUUCCACCAGGUCCCACGCUCGGGACAGCUCUUUCUGCCUGAAGGCAAGAGCAACUCCACCCUACCAGCAGGUGCAGCAGCAACGGCCUUUACUAGUGUCUCCACGCCUGCCUCCAGCAUCUAGAUGAACCUGGUUUUCUACAGUGCCCUGGAAGCUCCCACUCUCCCCCUUUGGCAGUGUCACAGGAGAGUCGGUAAGUGACACGUCCCUGAUCUUUCAACCUCCUGCCUCCUUCAACCGUGU